rnacentral:lncRNA from 1 species
CCCAGUGCAGUGGCCGUUGUCCACACUCCUGGACACCAAAGUGGCUCCUCCCUCCCCGCCACGGGGAAACCGCUGGGCAGACAAGGCGGCUAAGGCAGCGGCAACGCGGGAUUGGGCCCAUACCAUAGUGCUGCCCAUCCAGGUCAACCCAGAGCCACCAAGCCCCCCAUCCCUCAUUCCAAACCCCCCACAGGACCCUCCACAAUACUCGGACAGUGACCACCAAUGGGUAAAAGGGAAGGAGGGACAGCCGGUUGGGUCUUUCUUCCAGGACCCUGCUAGUAACUUGCUUUUAUCUAGAAUUGUUGGUCAGCAUUUGACCACCCACCUCCACCAUCUCACACGUAUGAGUGCCAACAAGCUCCAGGAACUGCUCCAGAAAGGACGGAUUCACUUUCAAGGCUCUUGGUCCUUCCUGACAGAAUUGGUCGACAAGUUCACCGCCUACCAGCUGACCAGGUCAGCGAACUCGAACUCACACCCCGGAACCCGCCUCUGUGGCACCCGGCCCUGUGAACAUUGGGAACUGGAUUUUACCAAAGUCAACGAAAUCGGCCCUUGGAUCCACCACUCCCACGUGAAAGCCACAGAUCCACCGAAGGCUACUGAAGUCUGGACAGCCACUUCCCAUCCCAACACUCCUCUGAAGGCCACCAAAGUCUGGAGAGCCACAUCCCAUCCCGACACUACUUUGAAGCUUAAACUUCACUGGACAGCAUGACCCUCCCUUUGCUCUUGCUUUCUCUUUCUCUCACUUGCUUUCUCUCUAUUCUACAGGCAGGGUUCUCCCACCAGCUGUGGAAAUGGUCUCUCAUCAGCUUUGAACACUCCACAGCGCUUGUCACAGUCACAACCUCAGGGACUCCUAGUCUUCAAACUGAGAUUUGUGACCUUAUAUGGGGACCUAAGGACAUAUGUGGCUCCCCCAGUAAAACCCUUGAAUCCAUCUGUAGGAACACUGGAGUAUUUUACCUUUGUCCUGCCUCUAACCCUGGGAAACCUUACUGCAACCAGCCAAACCAAUACUAUUGUGCCAAGUGGGGGUGAGAGACUAUAGUCACCAGAGGGAAUACUCGCCACGGCUGCAACCCAUGGACCCCAUCAAACCCCGACUCCUGGUU